rnacentral:rRNA from 1 species
UGGGGAAUCUUGCACAAUGGGGGAAACCCUGAUGCAGCGACGCCGCGUGAGCGAUGAAGGUUUUCGAAUCGUAAAGCUCUGUCCUAUGGGAAGAUAAUGACGGUACCAUAGGAGGAAGCCCCGGCUAACUACGUGCCAGCAGCCGCGGUAAUACGUAGGGGGCGAGCGUUGUCCGGAAUUACUGGGCGUAAAGGGUUCGCAGGCGGCAUGACAAGUCCGAUGUAAAAGGCGAAAGCUCAACUUUCGUAAGCAUCGGAAACUGUCAAGCUUGAGUGAAGGAGAGGCAAGUGGAAUUCCUAGUGUAGCGGUGGAAUGCGUCGAUAUUAGGAGGAAUACCAGUGGCGAAGGCGACUUGCUGGACUUCAACUGACGCUGAGGAACGAAAGCGUGGGUAGCAAACAGG